CAGUUCGGAUUGCAGGCUGCAACUCGCCUGCAUGAAGCUGGAAUUGCUAGUAAUCGCGGAUCAGCAUGCCGCGGUGAAUACGUUCCCGGGCCUUGUACACACCGCCCGUCACACCAUGAGAGCCGGGAACACCCGAAGUCCGUAGUCUAACCGCAAGGAGGACGCGGCCGAAGGUGGGUUUGGUAAUUGGGGUGAAGUCGUAACAAGGUAUC
rnacentral:rRNA from 1 species